rnacentral:rRNA from 1 species
AGUGAACGCUGGCGGCAGGCCUAACACAUGCAAGUCGAACGGUAGCACAGAGGAGCUUGCUCCUUGGGUGACGAGUGGCGGACGGGUGAGGAAUACAUCGGAAUCUACCCUGUCGUGGGGGAUAACGUAGGGAAACUUACGCUAAUACCGCAUACGAACUGAGGUUGAAAGCAGGGGAACGCAAGGCCUUGCGCGAUUGGAUGAGCCGAUGUCCGAUUAGCUAGUUGGUAAGGUAAAGGCUUACCAAGGCGACGAUCGGUAGCUGGUCUGAGAGGAUGAUCAGCCACACUGGAACUGAGACACGGUCCAGACUCCUACGGGAGGCAGCAGUGGGGAAUAUUGGACAAUGGGCGCAAGCCUGAUCCAGCCAUGCCGCGUGUGUGAAGAAGGCCUUCGGGUUGUAAAGCACUUUUGUUGGGAAAGAAAAGCGGUCGGUUAAUACCCGGUCGUACUGAUGGUACCCAAAGAAUAAGCACCGGCUAACUUCGUGCCAGCCGCCGCAGUAAAAC